UGAUUCCAGGCUGGGCACUCUAUCCACUGUGCCAUCUAUCUGCCUUCUAACCGUUGUCAGUAAAUUGCAGAGAAUGUGCUGACCUGCAUUGAUAGAGAGAUUAUCCUCACAUGGGAGUUCCCUUUAACUAAUGAAAUUACAGAUUCCAUCCUAGUUUACAUAAAAUUUUGCUUACAAUUAUUUCCACGAGAAAAGUAGUGGGAGAAUAGUUCCCUGUUAAUACAUGGGGGGAAAAAGAAGUUGUUGGCUCUUGAUCAUCUAUAAACUGUCACAUUUAUUUGCACAUACUCUCACCUUUAUCUUGAGGAAGCUCCCGAGACAGGCCGUGGUCUGCAGCACCCUACACAAGAUCUCUUCUCAAAAUAUAUAGAGGAAAUCCCCAGAGGAUGGUUCCCAAUAGAACUCGAUAAGCAAAGGGACCCAAAGGCUGAAGUCCCUCUGAUAUACAGGCAGUGGUGAUGGAACCAGAUGAAAAUCCAGGGAAAGGACAAGAGCUCUCCAUGGGGUGGCUGCUCCUCCAGGGAUCACUGUUCUGGUCUCGAGUGAGCACCCAAACAGCACCGGUCCCAUUCUGCUGCCAGCCACACAAGUCUGUCUCAAAGUCACAGAACCAGUCAAAGAACCAAGGUUCUGUCCUGCUCCCAGAAAGGGCAAAUCUCAAGGAAGUGCCCAUAAAAUGGGGCCCUGAGCUUGACCAGUCUGGAUGAACUGACUCUGUGGGGGGUGACGGCUGCAUGGACCCACGUCCCUCCUCUGGCAUCUGGACAUCUCUGGGGGGACCAGUGCCUGUCCCUUCCCUCUGGAGAGGCUUUGGCCCAGGGCUUUUGGCCCGUAGGAUUUUUACACUAGUAGUCUCAAGGUCUUGGGAAGACUCAAGGCUUUGCAAAAUGACCUCCCAGCAGUCUCCAUCGAGGCAGAGCCAAGAAUGCCCAGAUGUAGCCUCCAGCUCAGAGCUUUGUCUUUGUGCUCCAAGUCUCACUAAAGAGACUGGCUCCAACUGCCUCGGAUGGGGCAAAGAGCCCAGACCUGGACCUUGAGAGUUGAUGUUCCCUGAUGAGUUCCCAGAAGCAGGGUCCUCUGGGCUCUGGGCACAGCUCCCUCCCUGCUCUGUCUGGUCACAGGCCUGAGGAGUCCUUGAAGCUGGAUUACCAAUGUUAGCCUUAUG